rnacentral:rRNA from 1 species
AGUUCCUACGGGACGCAGCAGUAGGGAAUCUUCCACAAUGGGCGAAAGCCUGAUGGAGCAACGCCGCGUGGGUGAAGAAGGUCUUCGGAUCGUAAAACCCUGUUGUUAGAGAAGAAAGUGCGUGAGAGGAACUGUUCACGUUUCGACGGUAUCUAACCAGAAAGCCACGGCUAACUACGUGCCAGCAGCCGCGGUAAUACGUAGGUGGCAAGCGUUAUCCGGAUUUAUUGGGCGUAAAGGGAACGCAGGCGGUCUUUUAAGUCUGAUGGGAAAGCCUUCGGCUUAACCGGAGUACGGCAUUGGAA